CCUACGGGUGGCAGCAGUGGGGAAUAUUGGACAAUGGGCGAAAGCCUGAUCCAGCCAUGCCGCGUGUGUGAAGAAGGCCUUCGGGUUGUAAAGCACUUUCAGUGGGGAAGAAAGCCUUGGGGCUAAUACCCUCGAGGAAGGACAUCACCCACAGAAGAAGCACCGGCUAACUCCGUGCCAGCAGCCGCGGUAAUACGGAGGGUGCGAGCGUUAAUCGGAAUUACUGGGCGUAAAGCGCGCGUAGGCGGUCUGAUAAGCCGGUUGUGAAAGCCCCGGGCUCAACCUGGGAACGGCAUCCGGAACUGUCAGGCUAGAGUGCAGGAGAGGAAGGUAGAAUUCCCGGUGUAGCGGUGAAAUGCGUAGAGAUCGGGAGGAAUACCAGUGGCGAAGGCGGCCUUCUGGACUGACACUGACGCUGAGGUGCGAAAGCGUGGGUAGCAAACAGGAUUACAUACCCCGGUAGUC
rnacentral:rRNA from 1 species